AUUGAACGCUGGCGGCAGGCCUAACACAUGCAAGUCGAGCGGAUGAAGGGAGCUUGCUCCUGGAUUCAGCGGCGGACGGGUGAGUAAUGCCUAGGAAUCUGCCUGGCAGUGGGGGAUAACGUCCGGAAACGGGCGCUAAUACCGCAUACGACCUGAGGGAGAAAGUGGGGGAUCUUCGGACCUCACGCUAUCAGAUGAGCCUAGGUCGGAUUAGCUAGUUGGUGGGGUAAAGGCCUACCAAGGCGACGAUCCGUAACUGGUCUGAGAGGAUGAUCAGUCACACUGGAACUGAGACACGGUCCAGACUCCUACGGGAGGCAGCAGUGGGGAAUAUUGGGCAAUGGGCGAAAGCCUGAUCCAGCCAUGCCGCGUGUGUGAAGAAGGUCUUCGGAUUGUAAAGCACUUUAAGUUGGGAGGAAGGGCAGUAAGUUAAUACCUUGCUGUUUUGACGUUACCAACAGAAUAAGCACCGGCUAACUUCGUG
rnacentral:rRNA from 1 species